UUUCUUAUUUUAGGAUUUGCAGAUUUACAGAAUGGCUGCACAUUAAUGGAAAGAGAAGCAUAAACCUAUCUUCUUUCAUUAUGGAGGGAGGUUUGGCGGAUGGAGAACCUGAUCGAACUUCGCAAACAGUGACGAAUCUCAACUUCUGACACCAGGAAAGAUGAGUCAGCGCCAAGGAAAAGAAGCUUAUCCAACGCCAACCAAAGAUUUGCAUCAGCCAUCUCUUAGUCCAGCAAGUCCUCAUAGCCAG
rnacentral:lncRNA from 1 species